rnacentral:tRNA from 1 species
GCCGCGGUGGCGGAACGGUUUACGCGCAGCACUUAAAAUGCUGUGAGCUUCAUCGCUCAUGUGGGUUCGAAUCCCACCCGCGGCA